CACUAGUUUAGUCUUAGUGCACGUGUUAGUUUUCAAUUUUAUUCACAUUUCACUUUGCAAGCAGACUCAGUUCUUUUAGGUUGAGUUUCAUUUCAGUUUCUAUAAUUUGUAUGGUUGAUUUAGCAAAAUUACUUUUGGUAAAAAAUAUUCCUUGGACAUUCUUCAUUAUUUGGUUCAACAUUUGCAACCAAUAUUUUUUAGGUUACACAUUGACCUGGUAACUCAGUUUGUGGUCUUGCCCCUCUUUUAUCCAUUUGGCUUUUCUAUAUGCUGUUCCCUCCAUUUAGAAAUCCCCUUACUGUUGCUCUUUUCUAACAACCUCCUCCUUUUUUCUGCAGACUCAUCUUUUCUGAAAAGACUUUUCUUGUCCACAAAUGGCUUUGAUGCUAAUACCUUUAUUUAUGCCUGAUGGGAAUAGAUGAGAUCACUCAGGAAGAAUAUGUCAUGUGAAAACAGAACUGGUUUGUACAGGACACAAAGGAAGCAGUGCCUGCCGGGGAGAAGGGAGAGGAGUGCUAGAGAGGGAGGAGAGAGCCAGGAGAAAGGCCAAGGGAUAGCUGUUUCUACAUGCAGAGCAUGGAAGUCACCAUCCUCAGUGGGGACCUUUCUCAGACAAUCUAUUCUUCCACCGUUCUUGAGCAACCAAGAUAUUAAAAAGGAAGACUUGAAGUUUCUAUGCUGCUUGACCCAGAAGUUUCUCAUUAUGGAUGUGGGGUUCUUACUUUUGAAGGUGGAUAAUUGUUUUUCUUAAUCCUGUGACAAAAAGAGUUGGAAGGAUCAGGAAGAGCUGGAACAAUUUGGCUCUCAGUGUACUAUUUUUUUGAGAUGGAGUUUCGCCCUUGUUGCCCAGGCUGGAGUGCAAUGGCACCAUCUCGGCUCACCGCAACCUCCACCUCCCGGGUUCAAGCGAUUCUCCUGCCUCAGCUUCCCAAGUAGCUGGGAUUACAAUGAAUUCUUAAUAAACAAUGUAUUGCAUCAAGAACAAUUAAAUGCUUUGAAAUGUAAUAGAAUUUUACUUAAACAAAUGAUUUUUGAGAAGUAUGUUCAAGACAGAAUGGAGUAGAUAAUUUCUUAGACUAAUUACCUUCUAUGUAGCCAUUCCAGUAAAACAUGACUAGAGCACAUAUUAUUUUACUUAAAUUUUCCAUUUGAUUCAAUUUUCAAAUCUGAAAAUUUUAAACAUUUACUUCUAUUUAAAAUGUCUUCUUCACCAUGCAGUGCUAAGUGAACACAUUGAACUGUGUUUUCCAAAUUUUCUACAAUAAUCAGAAAAAGAUUGUAUAUAAAUAAUUCCACAGGCAACUCUUACAGUAUGUCUAAAUGGCAAAUUUGACUCAUCAUUAAUGGUAACUUAGUAUACCAUGUAAACCAGAAACCAGGAAAGGACCCAUCUCAUGUUCUCCUAAACCUCAGCCAUAGUUGAACACCUGAAAUCAAUAUACUUCUUAAGCAAAUGAAUAAUUCUUCAAAGCAAUAUUUAAAAGGAAAAGAAAAUUUUCUUUCAUACAAGCAUCUUCUCCCUCAGUGAUUCUCAUAUUUGCCUUUUUUUCCUCCUCACAGAUUUCUAAGAUGGGAGACAAAGUUGGCCUUUAUGCUUUAAAAUUUUCCCUUGAUCAUACCAAAAGGUAUAUAAAUUUCAUGGUUUUUGAGGAACAGUGACACAGAGAAUAGUUGACUUAGGGUGAGAAUAGUAUGAAGGAAUAAAAAUGUCAAUUUUUUUCCCUCAUAAAUAAAAGUGAUUUCCUAAAACUUUUCUCCCAUGACUUCAGGUUACUGGAGUAAAAUUUAUGGGAUGCUAAAAGCAAAAUACCUCUUAUAAGUUGAUUGUAUUUUGUGAAGACCGAUAACCAUUUGAGAAAAAUAGCUCUUGUCACUCGAUUCAAGUUUCUGGAGAGCUAUCGCUAAGUUUUUUGUUUUUUUCUAUUAUACUUAGUGUAUAAUGUAGUAUAGUUAUUUGCAUAUUGGAGCCCUAAGUUUGUUAUAUAAAAACGGCAAGUCGUGAGUAUGAAAGAGAAAGAAGCAUGAUACAAAGGAAUCUGGUCAGCAGAGCUGCAGCUUUGCUCCACAAAGGGUAAAAUUAUAAUGUAUUUUUUGUGGCUGGCCAAGGGUAGCUGCAAGAUAAGUAGCUCUGAUAACCAAUCAGAUAACAGAAACUAUACUUUUAAAAAACUUGCAAUGAUUUAAUAGGACUUUGGAAACAUGAUUUUAAU
rnacentral:lncRNA from 1 species